UAGUUAGUUAGUUAAUGGAAUAACAACAUAUCCUCAGCUGCAUCAGCUUCCAGAAAAUAAAUUGAAAAGGAAAAAACUAUGAGCCUAACCUCUUACUACAUUUAGACUGGCUCAGAAUACACACAGGGAAACUCCUUGAUUCUAUGACACGAAGUGACAGUAGCAGGAACUGGGAUUUUAAAUGAGACACACAUUUGCAAAACAAUCAGAAAACAUUUAUUAUACUGAAAUGUGUACAUCCUACUAUUAAAAAAAAAAGUAACAAAUUUGCUGGUGCCAAAAUUUAUUUAGCCUGUUUGUUUCACUGGGACAAACUCACGUUCAAUGCCACUCAGUAUAAUUUCAAGUCUGAUAAGCAUCUAAGUAUUUUUACCCCGCUUCUAAAACCUGAUGAGGAAUUCAAAAUAAGCACACAGCAUUAAAUGACAUUUAUUGUUCCAUAAAUCUUGAGACCCAAAAAGGAAUGCUAAAUAGACAAGCAAAACUUUUCAAACAAACGAGAUAAACUCGCUUCUUUCCCCAGUGACUGGUACAGAAAACAUGUGGUCACACGAAAGCAAAGGGAAAAAGUCAGAAAGGAAAACUCUCUGCCUAUAGGAUCUAUAGGAGUUACAGAUAUUUUCAAAUCGACAAUGAGGAUCAAAUAGUACAUUCAAAUCAGGACACCUGGGUAUAUGGACAAAGAUAUCCUACAAUUAAAAUGGAAUAGAAGUUAAAAAAAAAAUUCAGUCCCCUACACCACAGGCCUCAAACAUGCUUGCUGAUGGAUUCUGGGAAGGUUUUGGAUGAAGGACGGAGAUAUGGGAGGAAAGUGAGAAAACAGUGGAUUCCCUUUGAAAAGUAUGCUAGCAGACAAGCAUUUGGUUUUAUGAAAGAGGCACUCUUAUAGAGAAAGAAGCUAGUAUGUGGUGUAUAAAAGCCCCUAAAUCAUCACCAGAAUGUCUAUCCAUGAUUGUACUAAAGCUCAAUAUUUGAGAGGCUUAAGGGAUUUGUAUGAUACAUUUUAGUGUUUGAUUGAUAACAUCUAGUGUUUCCACAAAAAAAUUCAUCUUGUUCAUAAUGAAGAUCCCUUAACACCUAGUCAGAAGCUAUCAACAAUAAUACUUUCUCCCCCUACUUGGGUCACCUAUUUCCAAUGUCUGGGGUAGGGCUUUAAAAAUGUUUAAUAGGAUGGUGGGGGUGGGGGGUUAGGGUGGGGGUGGUCAGAGAUGGAGGGAGAGAGGGAAGAAAACGAGAGAAAAACCACGAGUUUAAAAGGCAAGUAAUCUCCAAAAAUGAAAACCAGAAACUAAAAUGCUAAAAAUGGAAGCAGAAGCAAAAAAGUUUUUCAAUAAAUCUGUGACAAAGCCAAAACACAAAAGUCUUUGUACCUAUUAGGAUUUACACUGAUCCUCUCACCAAGGUACUCCUGAUAAUGCAGUUUGCUUCAAGCCCAUCUUCCUGGCUUGGAUCUUCUCCAAUCUGGCAUGAUCGUAUCAAACGUACACCCUCAGACAUGAUUUCUUCCAAGAAGGUGCCGAGCCUCUUACCUGACCACCAACGGCCACAUCAGCACAACACAACUCUCCGCAUACAGAUUCACUGCUGGCCCCACAACAGCACUGUCCCCCAUCUCCUCUCCAGGUCAGCAUAAGGUUCAGGCAAUAAAAGCCAAACUGGCACAGAAAGGUAAAUGCCCACAGUAAGUUUCUACAUUCAUUUCCAAACCACAUACAGUGUAAAAAGACAGCAAAGGCUGCUUCUAGGAACUGUAUUUACUGGCCUCUGCCAGAGCAGCAGGCAGCUAUGCCUGCACCGUGGCCUCCAGAGCUGGAUGCAUGCUGUGCCGAUGUGCUCACUCUCAUGAGGAUGCUUGGCUAUGGCAGUGACAGUGAGGAGAUUCACCUCUCAUACAGCUCAUUAGAAAGGUCAUCUUGUGUUUUCAAUAUGAAACAUUUCAUAUGGUAAAAUCCAAUCCCAAGACUUCUUGGAUUCAGUCUUCACACACUUUUAAGCGUGACUAUUUGGUACUGAAUACAGUUCAGUCUAUAUAAGACAUCACUUCAAAAUUAUGUGGAUGC
rnacentral:lncRNA from 1 species